rnacentral:rRNA from 1 species
CCUACGGGAGGCAGCAGUGAGGAAUAUUGGUCAAUGGGCGCGAGCCUGAACCAGCCAAGUAGCGUGAAGGAUGACUGCCCUACGGGUUGUAAACUUCUUUUAUCAAGGAAUAAAGUGAGGCACGUGUGCCUUUUUGUAUGUACUUGAUGAAUAAGGAUCGGCUAACUCCGUGCCAGCAGCCGCGGUAAUACGGAGGAUCCGAGCGUUAUCCGGAUUUAUUGGGUUUAAAGGGAGCGUAGACGGGUUGUUAAGUCAGUUGUGAAAGUUUGCGGCACAACCCUAAAAUUGCAAGUGAUACUGGCAGUCUUGAGUACGGGUGAAGUAGGCGGAAUGCGUGGUGUAGCGGUGAAAUGCAUAGAUAUCACGCAGAACUCCGAUUGCGAAGGCAGCAUAC